AUUGAACGCUGGCGGCAUGCUUUACACAUGCAAGUCGAACGGUAACAGGGAGCUUGCUCCGCUGACGAGUGGCGAACGGGUGAGUAAUGCAUCGGAACGUACCCAGUCGUGGGGGAUAACGUAGCGAAAGUUACGCUAAUACCGCAUACGUCCUGAGGGAGAAAGCGGGGGACCGUAAGGCCUCGCGCGAUUGGAGCGGCCGAUGUCGGAUUAGCUAGUUGGUGGGGUAAAGGCCUACCAAGGCGACGAUCCGUAGCGGGUCUGAGAGGAUGAUCCGCCACACUGGGACUGAGACACGGCCCAGACUCCUACGGGAGGCAGCAGUGGGGAAUUUUGGACAAUGGGGGCAACCCUGAUCCAGCCAUGCCGCGUGAGUGAAGAAGGCCUUCGGGCUGUAAAGCUCUUUCAGACGGAAAGAAAACGCAUCGGUGAAUACCCGGUGUGGAUGACGGUACCGUAAGAAGAAGCACCGGCUAACUACGUG
rnacentral:rRNA from 1 species